rnacentral:rRNA from 1 species
CGGCGAGUGAAGCGGCAACAGCUCAAAUUUGAAAUCUGGCCCUCGGGUCCGAGUUGUAAUUUGUAGAGGAUGCUUUUGGCGAGGUGCCUUCCGAGUUCCCUGGAACGGGACGCCAUAGAGGGUGAGAGCCCCGUCUGGUCGGACACCGAGCCUCUGUAAAGCUCCUUCGACGAGUCGAGUAGUUUGGGAAUGCUGCUCAAAAUGGGAGGUAUAUGUCUUCUAAAGCUAAAUAUUGGCCAGAGACCGAUAGCGCACAAGUAGAGUGAUCGAAAGAUGAAAAGCACUUUGAAAAGAGGGUUAAAAAGUACGUGAAAUUGUUGAAAGGGAAGCGCCUAUGACCAGACUUGAGCCCGGUGAAUCAUCCAGCGUUCUCGCUGGUGCACUUUGCCGGGCCCAGGCCAGCAUCAGUUUGGCGCGGGGGAUAAAGGUGACGGGAAUGUGGCUCCCUCGGGAGUGUUAUAGCCCGCUACGUAAUACCCUGCGCCGGACUGAGGUACGCGCAUUGCAAGGAUGCUGGCGUAAUGGUCAUCAGCGACCCGUCUUGAAACACGGACCAAGGAGUCGUCUUCGUAUGCGAGUGUUCGGGUGUCAAACCCCUACGCGUAAUGAAAGUGAACGCAGGUGAGAGCUUCGGCGCAUCAUCGACCGAUCCUGAUGUUCUCGGAUGGAUUUGAGUAAGAGCAUACGGGGCCGGACCCGAAAGAAGGUGAACUAUGCCUGUAUAGGGUGAAGCCAGAGGAAACUCUGGUGGAGGCUCGCAGCGGUUCUGACGUGCGAAUCGAUCGUCAAAUAUGGGCAUGGGGGCGAAAGACUAAUCGAACCUUCUAGUAGCUGGUUUCCGCCGAAGUUUCCCUCAGGAUAGCAGUGUUGAACUCAGUUUUAUGAGGUAAAGCGAAUGAUUAGGGACUCGGGGGCGCUAUAUUGCCUUCAUCCAUUCUCAAACUUUAAAUAUGUAAGAAGCCCUUGUUACUUAAUUGAACGUGGGCAUUCGAAUGUAUCAACACUAGUGGGCCAUUUUUGGUAAGCAGAACUGGCGAUGCGGGAUGAACCGAACGCGAGGUUAAGGUGCCGGAGUGGACGCUCAUCAGACACCACAAAAGGUGUUAGUACAUCUUGACAGCAGGACGGUGGCCAUGGAAGUCGGAAUCCGCUAAGGACUGUGUAACAACUCACCUGCCGAAUGUACUAGCCCUGAAAAUGGAUGGCGCUCAAGCGUCCCACCCAUACCUCGCCCUCAGGGUAGAAACGAAGCCCUGAGGAGUAGGCGGACGUGGAGGUCAGUGACGAAG